ACCCCAACAACUAGCCCCCCUUCAAAAACCAACAACCCCCAUCAAUUAACCCCCAAAAAACAAC
rnacentral:rRNA from 1 species